UAGGUUUCUCCUUAUUCUCUAAGACACUCAGUAUUGCCUGGACGAGGAACGCCCUACACAGUGUCCGCCAAAGGCUGACUGUCAUCCCACUGUCAUUUGAGGAUAAGAGUUUCUCGGGCCCUUGGAGCCCACCGCAGCAAGGGCAGGCUGCCCCUGCUCGCCACCACCUGCCUUCCCGGUGGUUCCGGCUGGGCUCACCUGACCACCUCCGUCUCCAGGGAAAGGCCCAAGGGACUCAGGGGCAAGAGGACCCUUGCCAGGGAGCAGUGGCACCUCGGGGCCUCCCAUUCCAGCCCCACUCCCUUCAUGGCUCUGUCCACCUCACCAUCCCUCCUGUGCCUGAAGGAACCGCCUCUCACCCACCUCCACCUCAGCGCUGCUGCUGGGCUACUCCGGACCCUGUUCCUGUCUCUCCCCACUUUCUUUUCCUAGAAAAUGGAGGGUGAGAACCCGGCAACUGGCAGGGACAGGCUGAGGAAAAUGGGAGGCAGCCCCGCCGAACCCUGGGGGGUGACCACAGGCAGCCAGAGGGCCUGCAGAUGCCACUCUCCUGGGGAAGGGUCCCUCCAUCUCACUGCAGAGGGGCCUGGGCCAAGUCAGGGGUGACUCCAAGUCAGGGGAGCUGACUGGGAAGAGAGGCUUGGGGAGAAGACAGGGAAGUGUGUCUGGAGGGCAGGGCUUACAAAGUGACAAGUUACAGGCUAUUUUUGGUUCCUGGGGCUGCCCUGAGACCCCAGGCCACAGCCUUAAUGGCCAUCACAGGCAGCUCCCCUGUGGGCCUGGGAUUUGGGACCGCAACCCUGGACACUGCCCUGCACUCUCCAAGCCGGUUUUCCCAGCAAAGCCACAGGUCACUCUCAGGGCUGGAGCUCCCACAGAGCCCCAGGUCAUGGGAUUCUGAAGAAGAGAAUCCCCCUGCCAGGACUUGGCUAGGGGGGUCCAGGGCCUCAGGGACAGCCCCUCCCACCCAGCCCUGAGUCAUGCACUUGUACCCAGCUAGGUUCCAGAAAGGGCUGCAGGGACAAACACUGGCCGGACACUGGUGGACCUGUGGCCUCCUGAGUGGCCCAGCUUCUGUGGCCUCUGGUGACCUCAUCUGUGAAAUGGCAACCAGGGGCCUGAGAGCAGAGGGUGAGCCAGGCCCAGGGGAGUGCCCUGUCCCCUGCCAACCCCUGCACAGCUGGUGCUUGGGCGCAGCUCUGGCCAAGUCCCCACGUACCCUUCAUCAUUUUCAACAUUUUGACCACCCCAGGUUUACAGAGGAGGAAACGGAAGGCUCAGUGAUGUCACUCACCGGGGAUCGGGGAUCGCACAGCGGGGAUCGGGGAAGUCGGGGGCGGCACACAGCCGUUGAACCCUUUGCCCGUGGUGGCGGAUCAUGGGACAUCUUGGCCUCCAUAGUCGUACAAGCCAAUUCCUCAAGAUAAAUCUCCUUUUAUAUUUGUAUAUAUGCAUAUCUUAUUGGUUCCAUUUCUCUGGAGACUCCUGACUAAUACAGGGAAUUAACAGGAGGUACAACAGAGCCAAAACUGCAAGGCAUGGAGCCCAGGCAUGCACAAUGGAACAAGCUUUGACCUCUAACAAUACCCAGAACCAAUGACUCCUCCCCUCAGAACCAAGACGACCAGGACAGGACUGGAACCUGAACAUGGAAAUCUUUCAGAAGCAGGGAUCCGUUGGCCUGGGAGACUGGGGCUCAAAUCUGCCUUGACAAUCCUUUCCAUAAUGGUUAAAUUUGAAGCCCCACAAUCAGACCCUGCCAAGCCAACACUGCUAAAUCAUUUCCCUUGCCCUCUGGUCCCUUAAAGCUUGCCCCAGACCUCAAACUGGGGAGACAGAUUUGAGCCCCACUCCUGCCUUCUUGCUGGUCAGUUUUGCAAUAA